UUACUUAUAAAACUUCCUUAUAAUUAAAGAAAAUGAUUUUUAUAACUUUUUUAUUAAUUUUAUUAUUUAAUUUCAAAUCGGUGAAUUCUAUCAGCAAUGUACGUCAUUGUAAUUUUUCUAGAUACAUGUUGAACUAUUUUAAACUAAAUGAGCAUUAUUUGCUACAAAUGUAUAAAAAUUUUGAUAUGUAUACUGAAGAAGAUUUAAAGAAAUAUGGACGAGCAUUUCAAACACAUGGCGAUGUCGUAUUAUUCAUGAUUGAAGAUCUACACAAAAUUAAUGAAAAGUAUGUUGCAUAUGAUUUGAUGACAGUAAAUUUAUAUUUAAAUAAUAAUUCUGGUUCGAUAAAUGUAAUGUAUAAAUAUCAGGCAGGUAAUAAUAUUGAUUAUAACAAAGUAUUUCUUGGUAUACAAGGAUUAAAAUUACUAAAUUAUUCUAUGAUGUCAAUAUUAAAACGUUUCAUAGAUACUUUUUGUGAUAAAAUACCAAUAUCAGAUUUUAUCGAAUAUCCUAAUGAAUACAUAACUCAACAAUUAAAUAUUGACGUAUUAGUCGAUAAUACAAAAUAUUUAAGAGAAAAAAUAAUUAAAGAAAUAGAUCCUGACAUAAUUGAAAAAAGCAAUAUGACAAUAUUUCAUCCAAAAAAUCAAUUAUUCUAUAAUAUUAUGUUAAACCAGUCUGAUAAAAUUUUAGCAAUAGGUACUGAAUUAAGACAACAUCAAGAAUUUGUUAAUGGUAAACCAAAAUACAUUUUAGACCUUCUUCGAUUUGCUCCUCUUACAUUACAGUGUGCAGACAAAACAGACUUGACUGUAAUUGAUGUAUUUCGUUUUGUGAAGUAUCAUUAUUUAUAUGAUGAUGUAAGAACAUUCCAAAAACUUUUUCUCGCUGCCACUUUUCAUCCAGUUGGAAUGCUUAUUGCCUACUAUCUACAAUUUGUUUGUAAAAUGAUACAAAUUGGUCUAAGCCCUAAGAAUUAUAUAAAGAAUAAUAAAUUAUGUAUAUAUGAUUUGGGUGAAAAAAUAAAAAUGAUUUUACAACAGUUUAUUAACUUAAAGAUUUUUUUUGGUAGUGCAAAUUAUUAUCUCUUAUCUAUUAUUAAUAAUUUAUAUGUAAUAUUAUCUUGGGUUCGUGGCAUGUCACUUAAAAUACCAGAUUUACCAAAUAUAUUGUUGAACAAAUUAGAAUUAUUCAUGAAUAAUAAUUUAUUAAAGUUUAAUAUAGAAUUAGUACCAAACGUUAUGGAAGAAAAUGUAAUGCACAUACAUAACAAAAUAGUUAAAAAAGUAAAGCAAGUUGAUACAUAUCUCCAAGAACUCAGAAAAUAUACAAAUUCAUUUGAAAUGAUUAAUGUAAUACAAUUUUUAGAGAGAAUUGUGGUUAGUGACGACAAAUUUUUCUUGCAACCAAAUUUAAUUGAUCAUUUAUGCACAGAUAAUCCGAUAGAUUAUUGUAAGAGUACUAACGAUGAAUGCGUUAUUAACGAUGAAAGUAGUGAAUUAAAUAUUUACGACAUCGGGAAUAAUGAUGGUUUGGACGAAUUUAAAAUUACAAAUAUUGAAAAUAUCAAAAACGCAAUUUUUAAUAGCAAAAAAGAGAAAAGUUUAAAUCCAUCAAUUGACAUGAAGGAUUCGCCAAAACACAUGGUGGAUUAUUUCAUUAGUUCUGCAUAAAAAAUUAUAUUUUUGUAAUAGAGCUAUUAUAAUACCUUGCGUUAUUUUAAACAUUUAUAUCAAAUUUAUAAUUUCAUCACAUAAUAGUUCAUUUAAUUUUAAUAUGUACUUUUCAUUAUACUUUUAGAUAACAAUUUUUAAUAAUUUUAUGGAAUCAUCUUAGAAACAAUGGACAUAAUUAGUAAAAUGAAACAUGGUUAUAUAUUCUUAGGACAUUUGUAUAUAAUAUUAACUAGAGAAAAAUGGAAAAUUUUCAUUUUCAUGAACAUUGUUCAACAGGAAAAUAAAACCCUAUUUCGUGAUCUUAAUUUUAUGAAAACUAUAAAAUUCUGAAUUUUUAAUUUAAAAAUCAUAUUUGUGUAAUUUAAUUUUUUGUUUAUAUGAACUUUAAAAGUACUUGAAAAAAAAAAUUUGAUAGCAUAGAUAUUAUUUAAUUAUAGGAAAAGUGUUUGAGUUAUAAUUAUAGGAUUACAUCCUCAUUUUGAAUUAUACAAAAUUAAUAGAGACUUAUUUUUGUCCAGAAAAUUACUCGAUGUAUCGAUGACCUAGUCUUUUAUCAUAAUCGGUUGUUGAACGCAUUACGAGUAACCUACCGGUCACUCGAAUAAAUGGUAGCUAUGUGAGUCCUAAGUCAAUAGUCUUAGCAAAUCCGCGAUGCACCGUGCCAUUUAAAUCGACUUGAUAACGGUUCAGAUCACUUCUACAAUUUGAUGCAUACCGGGAAAAUAAGUUCACGAUCAGACGGUUCUGUAUUCCAAGAAACAAAGUUCAGAUGGGUUAUUGCUAGUUCAUAAGAAUAAGCGACUCAAUAGUAUGAGUCUACAAACGGCAGUAUUCCUUACGGUCAUUGACGAUGCUUAACCGUCACUAGAACAUAUAUAUAUAUAGUAAGUUUUGAUAUUUAAAAGAGUACACAGCAAAAAUUCAUGGACUUCAGAAGAAAAUGUGUACGAAAAAUAUUUUGAUCGGGCUGUUCAAAGUUCAGUUGCCAUUCAAAGUAAUGUUAUUCAAUUAGAACGGCGUCUACAGUCAAAUUCCGAUAUGCGGGCAGAAUAUUCAAAAUUCAUGAACGAAUACGAACAGAUAGGGCACAUAGAACUUGUGACUGAUCAGGAGCGAAAUAAAAAGGAGUUACGCUGUUGUUAUUUACCUCAUCAUGAUGUCAUGAAUAAUUAAUAAACAAAUCUUCGACUCCUCGUUUUUGACGCAUCAUGCUCGGGUCUUAGUCUUAAUGACGUAUUAUUAAAGGAGCCCGUCAUCCAGGACGAUCUACUUUAUAUUCUGAUUCGGUAUCGUAAGUGUACUGACAGCGGAUAUCGAAAAAAAAUAUGUACUGACAGAUAAAAAUCGGCGAGUGCCAUCGUGAGGAUUCUUGAACGUGAUAAUCCAAAGGUGCCACUGAGAAUCUACCGCCUGCGAACUGUGACGUACAGUACAAUAAGUGCAAGUUAUUCGUCAACAACUUGCCUAGAAAAGUUGGCAGAAUGUGAAUUCAUUCGAUAUCCCUUGACGCGUAUCAAUCAUUGGUUAUUGACUUUUUGGCGGUGCAAUGAAACGGACAGAGGCAUUAACAUUAAGAGACAAUAUUAUUGCAUUCGUGAAAUGUGUCUAGAUUUACAUAGUAAAUGGUCGUCGAACGACAACAGUUUAAUAAGUAAUUUAUUUACUACUGUAUACGACACAGACAGCGACGUCCCGCUCGUUAUCGCUCACGACACGACAACAAUAUUUGCACUUGUGUUGGGACCCGCCAUCGGAUUCAUUUAAAUGUACAGUAAGUGAAAACAAUAAGCGUACAAUCUUAUCGAAUAUAAGGACAAUUUUCGAACCCUUGGUUUGCUCGGAUCGACGUUAUUGGUUGCAAAAAUGAUCGUGUAACGUUUAUGGCGUAUUCGACUUGGAUGGGACGAACCCGUUACGGUAGAAGUUGCUGGUAAAUGGCGUAAGUACAGUACACAAUUAAUACGAGUUCAGUAUUCCGAGACAUGUGUUGUGUGAAUUACAGCUAAACGGCUUUGCCGAUUUAUCUAUUAAAGCGUAUGGUGCAUGUAUUCACAUUAGAUUGUCGUUACAGUAGAUUUGAUGAAAACGAUUGUCACACGGCGAGUUUAUUACAAGCGAAGUCCAAGGCCGCGUCAAUAAAAACUACAUCACUGCUUCGACUUGAAUUGUGUGCAGCGCUAAUAUUAACAGGUACUGGAAGCCGACUAGUGCCGAAGUUGAAAUGCAAAAUUGAUCGGCAACUUUAUUGAACUGGUUCAAGCACAACACUCGCUUGGAUUUCACCUCAAUCUCAAUCUGACAAAUGAAAAACAUCCGUGUUGGUAAUUUUUUAUCAUAUUUCGUGCGCUUUUAAACAAAACAUAUCAUGAUAAACCAUAUGGGUGCUAUAAAUAUCUUAUGGUAUUAUUCUCAUGUGUAUAAUUUUAAUUAAUAUACUUGUCAUUUUUCAUUUCAUAAAGCGGUGAACAAAAAUAUAUCAUAGACUUUUUUAUAAAUAUAUUGCGUAUACAAGAGGUCUGUGCAUAUUAUAAUAUUUACAUAUUAUAAACAUCGACUGCAAUGUUGCAAAAUUAAAUGAAACUCAUAAUUUUUUAUUAGAUAACAUUUUUUAUAUUAGCAAUUUAAUACCUUAUUCAAGAACAUAAAGUAUCAUUAACGACUAGCAUGACGUCAAUGCAAGUGGAUUGCAAUGAUUACUAGUAAAAGCAAUCCACUCGGGUGGAUAACGUUAAAUUGCAAAGUGCAUACAUUUGAAGAAUAACAUUGUUGCCGUUACAAAAUUACAAGAAAAAAUAAUAGAAGUUUUUAAAUGUGUGAAAUGAAAUAAUCUUUUCAACAUGUCAUCAAAAGAGUUAUCGACUAAACGACUAAAUACAAAUAAUAAGAAAAACAAUAACAUUCACAAAGAGAGGACAAAGAAAAAAAUAGUUGAUCAGGUACAAAGUGACGGAAGAUU